AUUGAACGCUGGCGGCAUGCCUUACACAUGCAAGUCGAACGGCAGCACGGGAGCUUGCUCCUGGUGGCGAGUGGCGAACGGGUGAGUAAUACAUCGGAACGUACCCUGAAGUGGGGGAUAACGUAGCGAAAGUUACGCUAAUACCGCAUAUUCUGUGAGCAGGAAAGAGGGGGAUCGCAAGACCUCUUGCUUUAGGAGCGGCUGAUGUCGGAUUAGCUAGUUGGUGAGGUAAAGGCUCACCAAGGCGACGAUCCGUAGCGGGUCUGAGAGGAUGAUCCGCCACACUGGGACUGAGACACGGCCCAGACUCCUACGGGAGGCAGCAGUGGGGAAUUUUGGACAAUGGGCGCAAGCCUGAUCCAGCCAUGCCGCGUGAGUGAAGAAGG
rnacentral:rRNA from 1 species